rnacentral:lncRNA from 1 species
CAUGUAUUAUAAGAGAAUUAACAUAUGUAUAUUCUUAAAUCGAUGACUACGUACAAGCAAUAAAAAAGUUUAAAAUCGAUCCAAUCAAGAUCAAACAGUCUAAAAAUGUUGAUUGUAUGCGUGCAACGGGCUAGUGCAUCUAAUCCAAAUUCUUGAAAGAACGGGUGGGGCGGCAGCUAAAUCUAGGUGGAGUAGAAAAACUUACA